UCGGGUGUGGUGUAACGGUUAACAUUGCUGUCUUUCAAGUGAGUUGCGAAUUCAUAGUUCGCAGUCCACAGCGGCCCCGGGUUCGACUCCCGGCAUCCGAA